rnacentral:rRNA from 1 species
AGUGAACGCUGGCGGUAGGCCUAACACAUGCAAGUCGAACGGCAGCACAGUAAGAGCUUGCUCUUACGGGUGGCGAGUGGCGGACGGGUGAGGAAUACAUCGGAAUCUACUUUUUCGUGGGGGAUAACGUAGGGAAACUUACGCUAAUACCGCAUACGACCUACGGGUGAAAGCAGGGGAUCUUCGGACCUUGCGCGAUUGAAUGAGCCGAUGUCGGAUUAGCUAGUUGGCAGGGUAAAGGCCCACCAAGGCGACGAUCCGUAGCUGGUCUGGGAGGAUGAUCAGCCACACUGGAACUGAGACACGGUCCAGACUCCUACGGGAGGCAGCAGUGGGGAAUAUUGGACAAUGGGCGCAAGCCUGAUGCAGCCAUACCGCGUGGGUGAAGAAGGCCUUCGGGUUGUAAAGCCCUUUUGUUGGGAAAGAAAAGCAGCAGGUUAAUACCCCGCUGUUCUGACGGUACCCAAAGAAUAAGCACCGGCUAACUUCGUG